rnacentral:rRNA from 1 species
UAGGGAACCUGCCCAUGCGGCCGGGACAACUUCCGGAAACGGAUGCUGAUACCGGAUAAGGAAAGCGAAGGCAUCUUUGCUUUGUUAAAGGAGCUGCAAGGCUCCGCGCAUGGAUGGACCUGCGGUGCAUUAGCUGGUUGGUGAGGUAAAGGCUCACCAAGGCGGCGAUGCAUAGCCGGCCUGAGAGGGCGAACGGCCACACUGGGACUGAGACACGGCCCAGACUCCUACGGAAGGCAGCAG